GAUGAACGCUGGCGGCGUGCCUAAUACAUGCAAGUCGAGCGAACGGACGAGAAGCUUGCUUCUCUGAUGUUAGCGGCGGACGGGUGAGUAACACGUGGAUAACCUACCUAUAAGACUGGGAUAACUUCGGGAAACCGGAGCUAAUACCGGAUAAUAUUUUGAACCGCAUGGUUCAAAAGUGAAAGACGGUCUUGCUGUCACUUAUAGAUGGAUCCGCGCUGCAUUAGCUAGUUGGUAAGGUAACGGCUUACCAAGGCAACGAUGCAUAGCCGACCUGAGAGGGUGAUCGGCCACACUGGAACUGAGACACGGUCCAGACUCCUACGGGAGGCAGCAGUAGGGAAUCUUCCGCAAUGGGCGAAAGCCUGACGGAGCAACGCCGCGUGAGUGAUGAAGGUCUUCGGAUCGUAAAACUCUGUUAUUAGGGAAGAACAUAUGUGUAAGUAACUGUGCACAUCUUGACGGUACCUAAUCAGAAAGCCACGGCUAACUACGUGCCAGCAGCCGCGGUAAUACCUAAGUGGCAAGCGUUAUCCGGAAUUAUUGGGCGUAAAGCGCGCGUAGGCGGUUUUUUAAGUCUGAUGUGAAAGCCCACGGCUCAACCGUGGAGGGUCAUUGGAAACUGGAAAACUUGAGUGCAGAAGAGGAAAGUGGAAUUCCAUGUGUAGCGGUGAAAUGCGCAGAGAUAUGGAGGAACACCAGUGGCGAAGGCGACUUUCUGGUCUGUAACUGACGCUGAUGUGCGAAAGCGUGGGGAUCAAACAGGAUUAGAUACCCUGGUAGUCCACGCCGUAAACGAUGAGUGCUAAGUGUUAGGGGGUUUCCGCCCCUUAGUGCUGCAGCUAACGCAUUAAGCACUCCGCCUGGGGAGUACGACCGCAAGGUUGAAACUCAAAGGAAUUGACGGGGACCCGCACAAGCGGUGGAGCAUGUGGUUUAAUUCGAAGCAACGCGAAGAACCUUACCAAAUCUUGACAUCCUUUGACAACUCUAGAGAUAGAGCCUUCCCCUUCGGGGGACAAAGUGACAGGUGGUGCAUGGUUGUCGUCAGCUCGUGUCGUGAGAUGUUGGGUUAAGUCCCGCAACGAGCGCAACCCUUAAGCUUAGUUGCCAUCAUUAAGUUGGGUACUCUAAGUUGACUGCCGGUGACAAACCGGAGGAAGGUGGGGAUGACGUCAAAUCAUCAUGCCCCUUAUGAUUUGGGCUACACACGUGCUACAAUGGACAAUACAAAGGGCAGCGAAACCGCGAGGUCAAGCAAAUCCCAUAAAGUUGUUCUCAGUUCGGAUUGUAGUCUGCAACUCGACUACAUGAAGCUGGAAUCGCUAGUAAUCGUAGAUCAGCAUGCUACGGUGAAUACGUUCCCGGGUCU
rnacentral:rRNA from 1 species